rnacentral:rRNA from 1 species
CCGAGAAAUUGGGGUUAAUCCGCGAUAGAUGUAAUGUCCUGGAAUGGUAUUACGUCUAAAGGUAUUUCAUACAUGUUUGAAAUAUGCCUAAGGACGGGGCUGCGGCCGAUCAGGCUGUUGGUGAGGUAAUGGCUCACCAAACCUUUGACCGGUACGAGCCAUGAGAGUGGUAGCCCGGAGAUGGACACUGAGACAAGGGUCCAGGCCCUAAGGGGCGCAGCAACCGCGAAACCUCCACAAUGCACUCACGUGCGAUGGGGCUAUCUCGAGUGCCACCUGAUGAAGGUGGCUUUUCCUAGGUCUUCAAAGCCUUGGGAAUAAGAGGGGGGCAAGACUGGUGUCAGCCGCCGCGGUAACACCAGCCCCUCGAGUGGUGGGGAUGAUUAUUUGGCCUAAAGCGUCCGUAGCCGGCCGAGCAAGUCUUCCGUUAAAUCCAGCGUCUCAAGCGUUGGACCGCGGGAGAUACUACACGGCUAGAGAGUGGGAGAGGUCAGCGGUAUUCUGGGGGUAAGGGCGAAAUCUUUUGAUCCCCGGAGGACCACCAGUGGCGAAGGCUGCUGACUAGAACACGUCCGACGGUCAGGGACGAAAGCUGGGGUAGCGAACCGGAUUAGAUACCCGGGUAGUCCCAGCCGUAAACGAUGCAUGUUAGGUGUUGGGUUGGCCACGAGCCACCCCAGUGCCGCAGGGAAGCCGUUAAACAUGCCGCCUGGGAAGUACGAUCGCAAGGUUGAAACUUAAAGGAAUUGGCGGGGGAGCACCACCAGGCGUGAAGCCUGCGGUUUAAUUGGAGUCAACGCCGGA